rnacentral:piRNA from 1 species
AUGUGUGCCUGAUGCCUGCAGAGGUC